CCUACGGGAGGCAGCAGUGGGGAAUCUUGCGCAAUGGGCGAAAGCCUGACGCAGCAACGCCGCGUGCGGGAAGAAGGCUUUCGGGCUGUAAACCGCUUUCAGCAGGAACGAAAAUGACGGUACCUGCAGAAGAAGGAGCGGCCAACUAUGUGCCAGCAGCCGCGGUGAUACAUAGGCUUCAAGCGUUGUCCGGAUUUAUUGGGCGUAAAGAGUUCGUAGGCGGUCGAGUAAGUCGGGUGUGAAAAUUCUGGGCUCAACCCAGAGACGCCACCCGAUACUGCUUGACUUGAGUUCGAUAGGGGAGUGGGGAAUUCCUAGUGUAGCGGUGAAAUGCGCAGAUAUUAGGAGGAACACCGGUGGCGAAGGCGCCACUCUGGAUCGAUACUGACGCUGAGGAACGAAAGCAUGGGUAGCAAACAGGAUUAGAUACCCUGGUAGUCCAUGCCGUAAACGGUGGGCACUAGGUGUGGGUUUCUAUUAACGAAAUCCGCGCCGUCGCUAACGCAUUAAGUGCCCCGCUGGGGAGUACGGUCGCAAGCUAAAACUCAAGGAAUUGACGG
rnacentral:rRNA from 1 species